rnacentral:rRNA from 1 species
AAUGNGGGGUACUGGCAGGCCUAAACAUGCUAGUCGAGGAGGCAGCACACAGAUAGCUUGCUAUUUUGGUGGCGACCGGCGCACGGGUGCGUAACGCGUAUGCAAUCUACGUUAUACUGGGGUAUAGCCCGAAGAAAUUCGGAUUAAUCCCCCAUAGUACUGAUAUACCUCAUGGUAAUUCAGUUAAAGUUUCGGCGGUAUGAGAUGAGCAUGCGUCCUAUUAGCUUGAUGGUAAGGUAACGGCUUACCAUGGCUACGAUAGGUAGGGGGCCUGAGAGGGUGACCCCCCACACUGGUACUGAGACACGGACCAGACUCCUACGGGAGGCAGCAGUGAGGAAUAUUGGUCAAUGGGCGCAAGCCUGAACCAGCCAUGCCGCGUGCAGGAAGAAUGCCCUAUGGGUUGUAAACUGCUUUUAUUUAGGAAUAAACCUUUCUACGUGUAGAAAGCUGAAGGUAC